rnacentral:misc_RNA from 1 species
AAGUCGUAACAAGGUUUCCGUAGGUGAACCUGCGGAAGGAUCAUUAUUGAAUAAAUCUGGCGUGGUAGAUGCUGACUCUUCGGAGUAUGUGCUCACCCGUCACCUUUAUCUUUCCACCUGUGAACCCUUUGUAGUCCCAGGAUACUCUCGCGCACUCUGUGUUGCGGAUGCGAAGGUUGUUGUGCCUUUUAGGUCGACGUCCCUCGAAUUUCCUGGGUCUAUGUAUCUUACACACCCCAACUGUAUGUUAAAAAGAAUGUUGAUUUCAAAGGCCUACAAGCCUAUAGAAACUCAAUACAACUUUCAGCAACGGAUCUCUUGGCUCUC